CAGCCGCCGCGGUAAUACAGAGGAUGCAAGCGUUGUCCGGAAUUAUUGGGCGUAAAGGGCUCGCAGGCGGUUUCUUAAGUCUGAUGUGAAAGCCCCCGGCUCAACCGGGGAGGGUCAUUGGAAACUGGGAAACUUGAGUGCAGAAGAGGAGAGUGGAAUUCCACGUGUAGCGGUGAAAUGCGUAGAGAUGUGGAGGAACACCAGUGGCGAAGGCGACUCUCUGGUCUGUGACUGACGCUGAGGAGCGAAAGCGUGGGGAGCGAACAGGAUUAGAUACCCGCGUAGUCCCUGUCUCUUAUAC
rnacentral:rRNA from 1 species